rnacentral:rRNA from 1 species
AUUGAACGCUGGCGGCAGGCCUAACACAUGCAAGUCGAACGAGUGGCGGACGGGUGAGUAAUGUCUGGGAAACUGCCUGAUGGAGGGGGAUAACUACUGGAAACGGUAGCUAAUACCGCAUACCAUCAGAUGUGCCCAGAUGGGAUUAGCUUGUUGGUGGGGUAACGGCUCACCAAGGAGACGAUCCCUAGCUGGUCUGAGAGGAUGACCAGCAACACGGGAACUGAGACACGGGCCAGAAUCCGACGGGAGGCAGCAGGGGGGAAUAUUGCACAAUGGGCGAAAGCCUGAUGCAGCCAUGCCGGGGGGAUGAAGAAGGCCUUGGGUUGGUAAAGUACUUUCAGCGGGGAGGCGGUACCCGCAGAAGAAGCACCGGCUAACUCCGUGCCAGCAGCCGCGGUAAUUC